rnacentral:lncRNA from 1 species
GAAUCUGCUGGUUCAGGUACCCUUGCUUUAGAACCGAACUACAUAUAGUGAACUUUAAGUGCUUGCCCCAGGUAGUAUGAUGAUGACCUUUAGUGUGUACCUUUAUAAGUUCUUAUUUAUUAUAUUUUUUUAUGUGACACUGACUUGUUUUUCUUAUUUUGCUAUCAUUGCAUGUCAUUUAUCAUUAAAAGGUGUCGAUUCAAGGUUCGAUUUCUGAGUUAGAAAGUUUUGUAAUGGGGAACGAAUAUCUUAAUAAAGUGGAGAACAACUCUUUCGUUUGUGCUUGGUCAGAGAAAAC